UACAGAGGCCCCGAGCAUUACCCGGAAUUACUGGGCGUAAAGGGUGUGUAGGUGGCGCCGUAAGUCGGGUGUGAAAUUUCGGAGCUUAACUCCGAAACUGCAUUCGAUACUGCGGUGCUUGAGGACUGGAGAGGAGACUGGAAUUCAUGGUGUAGCAGUGAAAUGCGUAGAGAUCAUGAGGAAGACCAGUGGCGAAGGCGGGUCUCUGGACAGUUCCUGACACUGAGACACGAAGGCCAGGGGAGCAAACGGG
rnacentral:rRNA from 1 species